AGUGAACGCUGGCGGUAGGCCUAACACAUGCAAGUCGAACGGCAGCACAGAGGAGCUUGCUCCUUGGGUGGCGAGUGGCGGACGGGUAAGGAAUACAUCGGAAUCUACUCUGUCGUGGGGGAUAACGCAGGGAAACUUACGCUAAUACCGCAUACGACCUACGGGUGAAAGCAGGGGACCUUCGGGCCUUGCGCGAUUGAAUGAGCCGAUGUCGGAUUAGCUAGUUGGCGGGGUAAAGGCCCACCAAGGCGACGAUCCGUAGCUGGUCUGAGAGGAUGAUCAGCCACACUGGAACUGAGACACGGUCCAGACUCCUACGGGAGGCAGCAGUGGGGAAUAUUGGACAAUGGGCGCAAGCCUGAUCCAGCCAUACCGCGUGGGUGAAGAAGGCCUUCGGGUUGUACAGCCCUUUUGUUGGGAAAGAAAUCCAGCUGGUUAAUACCCGGUUGGGAUGACGGUACCCAAAGAAUAAGCACCGGCUAACUUCGUGCCAGCAGCCGCGGUAA
rnacentral:rRNA from 1 species